UACAGAGGUCCCAAGCGUUGUUCGGAAUCACUGGGCGUAAAGGGUGCGUAGGCGGCGCGCCAAGUCAGAUGUGAAAGACCGGGGCUCAACCCCGGAACUGCAUUUGAAACUGGCGUGCUAGAGGGUUUGAGGGGGGUCGGGAAUUCACGGUGUAGCAGUGAAAUGCGUAGAUAUCGUGAGGAAGACCGGUGGCGAAGGCGCGACCCUGGAAAACAACUGACGCUGAGGCACGAAGGCCAGGGGAGCGAACGGG
rnacentral:rRNA from 1 species